UCUGUACUGGGUAUCACCCGAACCCCCUUGCAAAAUUAGUUUCUUCACAUUAUCCCUCUUCACAAAGUGGGAGGAGGCAUUUAUGAAUAUUUCUAAAGUGAAUACUUCUUUGAUGUCCUGACUUAUUAAAAGUGUAUUGAAUUUUCAGAUCGCAAAGAACAUGGAAGUGUUUAUAUGGUCCUGAGAUUAUAAGAGUCUUAAUAAUCAGGAUAGGCUUCAGAAUUUGAUGAGGUUUAACCUUUUUGCCUGUUCAUAUGCAGUUUGUAUAUGGAAAAGGAGGACAAUAUUUAUCACCUUUUUCCUCAUUGCUUCUUUGCUUCCAAGGGAAGAAGCUUUCUGCUUAGUACCUUCAGAUUUCCGCUUGUCUUUCUAAUUCUAAUCAUAUUGAUGACUGGCUUUCUCAAGUGAAGUUGAAGUCCUUUGGGGUAUGCUGUCGGGGCAUUCCUUUAGUUGCGUUGGCUUGAAAGUAACUUUAAACUUUUUGAAGCUAAGUCUUCUGAUAUAACUUCUUUUGGUGGAAAUUUACAACUCAUCUCCUUGUGGUGGGCUCAUAGUUAUAGCCAAUUCUUUUGCAAUUAUCCAAUUUCUUUGCAUCACAACAAUUGGUCAAAUUUUCUGCAAUUAGUUUUUUUGGGAUGGGGUUCACUUUUCACCGUCCCUAAGCUGUUUCUACUUCGCUUUUGUCUGAUGAUGUCUCUUAUAAAACAUCAAUGUGUGAUAGCAGAAGGAAAUUGUUAGCAGCCGGUCUUUUUUGCUGUCCAGACAUAUGGACGUGUUUUCUCCAUAUUUUUCCUGUUUAAUUUUUUCUCGCUCUCAUUAUUUUUUCCAUUUCAUAGUCCUUGUAAAUACUAAAAUGUCUUCUGCAAUGCAGAUUGUUGAUAGGCUUCAUUGGUACAUAGAGAAAGGCAAUACAGAUUGAAAGAUUUUAGAAUAAAAAAUAGAAGCCAUGUUAGAUAUUCUCUUCGAAUUGUGCUCAGGGCAGCAAGUUAAUUGGGAGAAGUAAGCAUUAUAUGGAGGCAAUAUUGAUGAGGCUACAUUGAUCUCUACUUCUUCAAGGCUGAAUUGGGAGGCUGGCCUGACUUAAUUGAGAAUUGACUGUCAGGAAGGGACUAUAUUUUCAACUAAUUAAUCUCCAGACGGCUAAAACUGAAGGUGGCUCGACUAACAACGCUUCAGCUCGAGUCUUGAGACUCACGGCUGGCAUACGACUCACACAGGAAUGGCUCGGUUGCGCGUGGCUUGCAUAUGGCUUACACGAAACGGCUCGGAUCCACAGAGAUGACUCACGAGGCUCGGUGAAGGAAUACGACUCUAACUAACACGACUUGAACAUGUGGCUCGCAAAAAGAAAACUUUCACAGCUUGCACCCUUCACUGUUAAGCAUGAUGAUGUCCGGCGGUGCUGUGCGAGUGGAGGCAACGACGGGUGAUGGUUUCGACGGAAGAGAGGGUUCUGACCGAUGAUGUGGAGGAGGAACGCACAGAGGAAGACAGGGGUCGUUCGACGGUUCAAUGCAACACGCGUCGACACGGCUGGAGAGAAACGAACGGUUGUGCUUCGUGACCGUGACGCUUCGACUAUGCGACUGUGACAGGGACUCUCUCACCGGAGUGCUGCAUUCGAUGAUGGCUGGAGGAGCGGGGCGACAGCUACUCUAGGGUUAAAUGGUGAAGAAGAAAGAGUGGGGUGGAGAAGAUGAGCACGAAAUACGAGAGAGACUUAUUUAAUAUAUACAAUAAUAAUAAGUAUUAUUAUUAUUAUUGUCAUUAUCUUUAUUAUCAUUAUUUAAUUUCCCCAACGAACUCAUUUUUUUCUA